UGGGGAAUAUUGGGCAAUGGGCGCAAGCCUGACCCAGCCAUGCCGCGUGAGUGAUGAAGGCCUUCGGGUCGUAAAGCUCUGUGGGGAGGGAAGAAACCCCGUACAGCUAAUAUCUGUGCGGAUUGACGGUACCUCCUUAGCAAGCACCGGCUAACUCCGUGCCAGCAGCCGCGGUAAUACGGAGGGUGCAAACGUUGCUCGGAAUCAUUGGGCGUAAAGCGCACGUAGGCGGCUUGUUAAGUCGGAUGUGAAAGCCCUCGGCUCAACCGAGGAAGUGCAUACGAAACUGGCGAGCUUGAAUAUGGAAGAGGGUCGCGGAAUUCCCGGUGUAGAGGUGAAAUUCGUAGAUAUCGGGAGGAACACCAGUGGCGAAGGCGGCGACCUGGGCCAAUAUUGACGCUGAGGUGCGAAAGCGUGGGGAGCAAACAGGAUUAGAUACCCCCGUAGUCC
rnacentral:rRNA from 1 species